rnacentral:rRNA from 1 species
CAGUAGCCGCGGGAAUACGUAGGUGGCAAGCGUUGUCCGGAAUUAUUGGGCGUAAAGGGCUCGCAGGCGGUUUCUUAAGUCUGAUGUGAAAGCCCCCGGCUCAACCGGGGAGGGUCAUUGGAAACUGGGAAACUUGAGUGCAGAAGAGGAGAGUGGAAUUCCACGUGUAGCGGUGAAAUGCGUAGAGAUGUGGAGGAACACCAGUGGCGAAGGCGACUCUCUGGUCUGUAACUGACGCUGAGGAGCGAAAGCGUGGGGAGCGAACAGGAUUAGAUACCCGAGUAGUCCCGUCUCUUAUACA